AUUUUCUGAGUUCAAUUUCCAUGUUGCCCCGUCACGGUGACGAUAUCCCAAGUUAACAAGGCACCAGAGUGCGGAACAUAGAAACAGGUGACAGUGCAUGAUCGGCUUGAGAUACCGGUACGGUGAAAUCCCAGCUCAUAUUAGUCAUAUCUAGUAGUGGUGAAUUUUAAUUAUUUUUUUUUUUUUUUUGUGAUGAUAUCUGCAAUUAACUUGUUGGCAGAGUAGUUGGUGUUGGUUUGAUUGAUGCCCCAGUUCUUCACCCGAUGUCUGAAGGAUUAUUCAACUUUGUGAUUGAGUGGACAUUCAUGUUUUGCUCCUCUGCUUUUCACGGAUUGAAAGAGGGACAGACACAAGUGGUCUCUCGACGCCCUAUGGGCUUUUCAGAUGUUUCUCACUAUUAGUGUGCUUUUGUCCAAAACUUAUUGUUGUCGAUUGUGAGCAUUAAUCUAUGAAUUUUGAUAAUCGGGAGGGCGGAUUCAAACGCAGGACCUCUUUCGUGAUUGAGAAACAGAUAUCACUAGGUCAAGAGCUAGUUGUUAUCGGUCUAUGAUUUUAUAUUUGCUUUGUAAUGGGCAUGUUUUCGGAGACCAGUUACAUUUUCCAUCAAUUUGAUCAAUGUUGUUGUGCAUGUGAUAUGAACAGCUUUUCUAAUACCUUACAUGGCUACCCGGCUGAAUGAGGCUGAGUCAGACUACACUCCAAGCAAGGGCUCACAGCUCGGGUCUGUCAUGACCAAUGGUGCUCCCAUCGUUGGACUUGCUAGCGGAGCGAUAUGUCUGAUACCUGCAUUGUGGGCACUUUUUGGCCGAAUGGACGGAAACUUAGGGAAUAUUUCAGAAAGACGGGAGUUCUUGAUCGGUUACCUAGGAUCGGAGAGGCUGGCUUAUGCAUUCAUUUGGGAUAUCUGUCCUUAUCUUCCAGCCCUGGUUAAUAGGUGACAAUCUUCAAGAUGUUGGGAGCAGCAAGAUUGGUAUCGUAAAUUAUCUUAGAUUUGUACCAGUUGUUGGCUUAGUUGCUUACCUUUUUUGUCUGAAUCUUGACGAGGAACUGUAGCUUUUACAGCAAGUAAAUGUCUGAUUGCAAUAAGUGUAACAAAGACAAAACAUUGUACUUCAAUAUGAACAUGAAGCUUCCUUUGUUCUU